GCGUGUGUGAAGAAGGCCUUCGGGUUGUAAAGCACUUUCAGUCGUGAGGAAGGUAGUGUAGUUAAUAGCUGCAUUAUUUGACGUUAGCGACAGAAGAAGCACCGGCUAACUCCGUGCCAGCAGCCGCGGUAAUACGGAGGGUGCGAGCGUUAAUCGGAAUUACUGGGCGUAAAGCGCAUGCAGGUGGUUUGUUAAGUCAGAUGUGAAAGCCCGGGGCUCAACCUCGGAAUUGCAUUUGAAACUGGCAGACUAGAGUACUGUAGAGGGGGGUAGAAUUUCAGGUGUAGCGGUGAAAUGCGUAGAGAUCUGAAGGAAUACCGGUGGCGAAGGCGGCCCCCUGGACAGAUACUGACACUCAGAUGCGAAAGCGUGGGGAGCAAACAGGAUUAGAUACCCUGGUAGUCCACGCCGUAAACGAUGUCUACUUGGAGGUUGUGGCCUUGAGCCGUGGCUUUCGGAGCUAACGCGUUAAGUAGACCGCCUGGGGAGUACGGUCGCAAGAUUAAAACUCAAUGAAUUGACGGGGGCCCGCACAAGCGGUGGGAGCAUGUGGUUUAAUUCGAUGCAACGCGAAGAACCUUACCUACUCUUGACAUCCAGGGAACUUUCCAGAGAUGGAUUGGUGCCUUCGGGAACUCUGAGACAGGUGCUGCAUGGCUGUCGUCAGCUCGUGUUGUGAAAUGUUGGGUUAAGUCCCGCAAACGAGCGCAACCCUUUAUCCUUGUUUGCCAGCGAGUAAUGUCGGAAACUCCAGGGGGAGACUGCCGGGUGAUAAACCGUGA
rnacentral:rRNA from 1 species